GUUUUGAGUGAAAUACAAUCCCUAGAACUAUACAAUACACCAACCACUCCAUUUCAGAACGAACUUCGUACGAACCUGAAUUGUCAACUUUCGUGGACCGAUCGAUAUCGGAUUGAGUCCAAAACUUGGGGAACAUCAUAAUAUUUUGGGAGGAGUCAUUUGGUACAUUUUGAGUGAAAUCCAACCUCUAGAACUAUACAAUGCACCAACCACCCCAUUUCAGAACGAAUUUCGUAGGAAACUGAAUUGUCCGAUUUUAAGGACCAAUUGAUAUCGGAUUGAGUCCAAAACUUGGGGAACUGUCGUGGGAGGAGUCAUUUGGUGGGUUUUGAGUGAAAUCCAAUCUCUAGAACUAUACAAUACACCAAUCACCCCAUUUCAGAACGAACUUCGUACGAAUAUGAAUUGUCCGAUUUCAAGGACCAAUCGAUAUCGGACAGAGUCCAAAAGUUGGGGAACGUCAUAAUAUCGUGGGAGGAGUCAUUUGGUGGGUUUUGAGUGAACUCCAAUCUCUAGACCUAUACAAUACACCAACCUCCUCAUUUCAGAACGAACUUCGUUCGAACAUGAAUUGUCCGAUUUCAAGGACCAAUUGAUAUCGGACUUAGUCCAAAACUUGGGGAACAUCAUAAUCUUGUGGGAGGAGUCAUUUGGUGGUUUUGAGUGAAAUCCAAUCCCUAGAACUAUACAAUACACCAACCACCCCAUUUCAGAAUGAACUUUCGUAGGAACCUGAAUUGUCCGAUUUCAAGGACCAAUCGAUAUCGGACUGAGUCCAAAAGUUGUGGAACAUAAUAAUAUUGUGGCAGGAGUCAUUUGGUGGGUUUUGAGUGAAAUCCAAUCUUUAGAAUUAUACAAUACACCAACCACCCCAUUUCAGAAUGAACUUCGUAGGAACCUGAAUUGUCCGAUUUCAAGGACCAAUCUAUAUCGGACAGAGUCCGAAAGUUGGGGAACAUCAUAAUAUUGUGGGAGGAGUCAUUUGGUGGGUUUUGAGUGAAAUCCAAUCUCUAGACCUAUACAAUACACCAACCUCCUCAUUUCAGAACGAACUUCGUACGAACUUGAAUUGUCCGAUUUCAAGGACCAAUUGAUAUCGGAUUGAGUCCAAAACUUGGGGAACAACAUAAUCUUGUGGGAGGAGUCAUUUGGUGGGUUUUGAGUGAAAACCAAUCUCUAGAACUAGACAAUACACCAACCACCCCAUUUCAGAAUGAACUUUGUAGGAACCUGAAUUGUCCGAUUUCAAGGACCAAUCGAUAUCAGAUUGAGUCCAAAACUUCGGGAACAUCAUAAUAUUGUGGGACGAGUCAUUUGGUAAGUUUUGAGUGAAAUAGAAUCCAAAGAACCAUACAAUACACCACCCACUCCAUUUCAGAACGAACUUCGUACGAACCUGAAUUGUCAAAUUUCGUGGACCGAUCGAUAUCGGAUUGAGUCCAAAACUUGGGAAGCAUCGAAAUCUUGUGGGAGGAGACAUUUGGUGGGUUUUGAGUGAAAUCCAAUCUCUAGAACUAUACAAUACACCAACCACCCUAUUUCAGAACGAACUUCGUACGAACCUGAAUUGU
rnacentral:lncRNA from 1 species